CGAGCGUGGGGCUCCUCCUCGGCCCGUGCUGCCUUGAGGCGUGGCGAGCCGUAAUCUUCAGGAGCCGGGAAGGUGUCUGCAAAGACAACUUUUCUCUAUCAAAGGGAAAUAUCUUUGGAAUUACAUCCCGAAUUCCCAAAGCUCCCUUUGAAAGCAUGGGUGUCUGCAGGGAGCUGUGCAGAGCGCUGUGCCUGAGCUGUGCCUGCUGCUGUUAGAAGGAGGAGCACGAGAGUCAGCAGGUCAGAAAUGGGGAUCCAGAGGCACCAUGUUGGCUCUCUUGAGGUCGGUUGAAUUUUGUUCUUCCAGGCACCGUACUGGAAGAACGGUAAAAGGCACUACCUUUUACUUUUUUUUUCCCCACUAAUUCUAAAGAUACUGGAUCCACACAGCAAUUGGUAUGUUAAAGUAGAAAUAGGUUAAAAUGGGAAAGUAAAUUAACUUCCCUCAAUCUUUUUAAAUAGUGGGAACAUGUUUAAUAAUAUUUUUUCCACUGUUAGAAAACGUACUGACCUGAGAAAGAAAAAUAUUUGAAAAAAUCUUGCCAAAUGAGUGUAAAUCUCCAGUACGUGGUUGAAGUUAGUAGCAAUGAGAGACAAAUUAGCAAAUUGUCAGCAUAGGCUGUGCCAAAACAAUCAGGCAGUCAGCACAGCACUGCUUCUACUGGGUUUACUGAAAGUGGAUCUAACAUGAAGGGUAUAGCUAUUACUCCAAACAGAGUCCUAAGAGUUUGUAGCCUGGUUAAAGGGUCAGAUGGUUAACAGUGAGACAAGUGACUAUGACUGCGGUGUGUGUAAAACACAAAUAUGCAUAAGUUUCUGCAGAGAAUGGCACUGAAGAUAACUUACUUGUAGCAUAUCUCGGUGACAGACUGCAGACUGCAGCCUUUCUCAGUUGCUGGUGGAUACUUGGAAUCAAACAAAGUCAGCAGCGUUACACACAGUGAACUUCUCCAGCAAAUUCAAGAACCUGAGAUAGCUCUUACAGGCUUCCUCCCCCAUGAACUCCGUGCUUCAGGCUUUCUGCAUUCUCACAGAUAAACCAGCCAGGUGAAGCAAACAAUGACUGCAUUGAAAACAGGCAUUGAAAGGCAGAGCUUGAGUUGUCCCAGUUUUUGUCCCUCAGAAGUCAAGGUGAGAGAGAGGUCAGAAUUGGAAUAGCCUUACCACAGACACACAGUAGUAUACAUAAAUGCAUACAUGUAUGUGAUGGCAUAUACAUACAUAGACAUUAUGUGCCAUGUUUCUAUCAUGUCUGUGUAAUUCUGCCUGCUCAGUGAGUCCUGUCCUUGCCCUCCCUCAUCUUAAAAAAAAAAAAAAAAAAAAAAAAAAAAACCAAACAAGUGAAUAUAUGAAAUUCCAGUCCUUCUUUUAGUCCUUAUACUUCUCUUUGGCCAAUAGGAAAUGGUCUCAAUUUGGGAAAUUAAUUUCCUGCUGCGACUUGUGUUGAUGCAGUUAUACACUGCAGUUAUACACUGCAGAUAUGAAUCUGAUCUGACUUUGUAAGAACAAUACUACUCUGUGGGAAGCAAACUUUUUAUUUCUCUUGUGACUACAAACAUUGUGGCUACAGUAUGGUAACAGGUGCUUCAAAAGCAGCUUUUGUCUCAGACAGACAGGGAGGCUUAUCAGCAGAAGCACAUCAGAAUGAUACUGUAUGAAGAGAGAGGAAUGCUUCAAACACAUGCUGUUUGUCAAGGUAGAUUCUUGAAUUCUGGACAGAUCACAUAGCUAUUUAUUGCUCCUUCAGUUGUUGGCUUGGAAUAUUAAAUAUUCAUGUUUCAUAUUAAAUAUUAAAUAUUCUUCUGAGAGCAAAAAUGAUUUUGUCAGCAUCCCUGACAGUCUGAAACUUGACAGUUGUGGAGGACCAUGUGCAUUAUCUCUUCUGUUGUCGUUGUUUGUUCAUUCUUUGGAAAAUUAAAAUAAGCACUUUGUAGAAGCUUAACACCUCAGGGUUUGUACUUCCUGUAUCUGUUUCCUGAGAUGAUACACAGCCGUGUGCUGUUAGGAUGGAUAUUAGGGAUGAAUAUUAUUCCCACUGACCCAAGAUAAAUCAGCGGUGAAGUCGUGUGUCUCUUGCCCUGUUUUGAAUAGUAGAUACAUAGUCUAUUUAAUAUUCUGUUUUGAACUUCUUGUUCUUAUAUAUUCUCCUCUGUUUUUAAUUUUUUUUUAAUAUAUAUAUAAUUUGUAGAAGAAUAAAGAUUUUGUUUUCUACGUUUGUACAUGGAUUAUGCUGGUCUCAGUCUGUAGUAGCAGUGACUC
ensembl:lncRNA